AGUCGAGCGAGAAAAUCCCCGCAAGGGGAUGAGUACAGCGGCGAACGGGUGAGUAACACGUGGGCAACCUGCCCCUCAGUCAGGAAUAACCCCGCGAAAGCGGGGCUAAUACCAGGUGACGUCCCCUGGGGGCAUCCUCGGGGGACCAAAGGGGGCGAGCGAAAGCGGCUCUCGCUGAGGGAUGGGCCUGCGGCUGAUUAGCUAGUUGGUAGGGUAACGGCCUACCAAGGCGACGAUCAGUAGCCGACCUGAGAGGGUGACCGGCCACACUGGGACUGAGACACGGCCCAGACUCCUACGGGAGGCAGCAGUGGGGAAUAUUGCGCAAUGGGCGAAAGCCUGACGCAGCGACGCCGCGUGGGUGAUGAAGGCCUUCGGGUCGUAAAACCCUGUCGGGUGGAACGAAUCCCCCGCGGAAUAAUACUUCGCGGGGUUGACGGUACCACCGAAGGAAGCCCCGGCUAACUACGUGCCAGCAGCCGCGGUAAUAC
rnacentral:rRNA from 1 species